GAGCGGUAUUGUUUCUUCGGAAACGAGAGAGCGGCGCACGGGUGCGGAACACGUGUGCAACCUGCCUUUAUCUGGGGGAUAGCCUUUCGAAAGGAAGAUUAAUACCCCAUAAUAUUUUGAAUGGCAUCAUUUAAAAUUGAAAACUCCGGUGGAUAGAGAUGGGCACGCGCAAGAUUAGAUAGUUGGUAGGGUAACGGCCUACCAAGUCAGUGAUCUUUAGGGGGCCUGAGAGGGUGAUCCCCCACACUGGUACUGCCACACGGACCAGACUCCUACGGGAGGCAGCAGUGAGGAAUAUUGGACAAUGGGUGAGAGCCUGAUCCAGCCAUCCCGCGUGAAGGACGACGGCCCUAUGGGUUGUAAACUUCUUUUGUACAGGGAUAAACCUUUCCACGUGUGGAAAGCUGAAGGUACUGUACGAAUAAGCACCGGCUAACUCCGUG
rnacentral:rRNA from 1 species